UAUAAGGUUAGUUUCUACUUGUGAAAUUAUGAGAUACAAUGCAAGUAUGAAUAUAAGAUGGUUCCCAUUUUUUAAAAGUUUGGUAUGCUUGUUAAUUUAUUUCUUAUUUGGGUGUGCACAGAUGGGAAGCCAAAUCUCUUUUUCAUUUGGAAGGAAAGCUACAAUUGGAGAAUUCUAUUCUGUUGUAUUACUAUCUCUUCAGCAUCUCUACAAUGACUCAUUAGACUUGGAAACUACUGGAGGUGAAUUUCAUGGCUUGGGGAUGGCAGUGAUAAAGAAAUCAAAGGAUAAGUGGAAGAAGCUUUCAUAUGUAGAUUUGGAGAGAGAAGAUGAGUGUGGGAUCUGUUUGGAGCCAUGCACCAAAAUAGUUUUGCCAAACUGCUGUCAUGCCAUGUGAAUCAAUUGCUACCAUGACUAGUAUUCCCCCAUCUCAUUUUCCUCCUUUGUUUGCCAUUAUAUUUCACAAUCAAUUUGUAAUGAUGGUGAGUAGCUGUGAUUCUUAAGUUAGAGUCUUUCUUUGCUUUUGUAAUUCAAAGGAACGCAAGCUCAGAAUCUUGCCCAUUUUGCCAAGGAGCUUUAAAGAGAGUGAAUUCGGCAUACAUAUGGGAAUUACCAUGGAAAUCCGGGGAGUUUUGGGGGAGGGGGAGUGAUAAGAGAUGAUGUUGGUACUGUGCAGGGAGCUUUCUCAGUUCAUUUUGGUCAGGGUAAUAAUAUUGGAGCUGAGUUAAGGGCUAUCACAAAGGGGAUUGUUUUGUGUAAAGGGCUAAUUCUUUUUAAUGUGAUUAUUGAAAGUGACUCUAAGGUGGUAGUGGAUUGGCUUCGUGUGGGAAGGUGUACUUUAUGGUAUUUAUGGGACUAUUGGGAUAAUUUACUUACUGCUCUCGAAGGGAUUCAUUUUAUGGUAGUGCAUCAAUUUCAGGAAGGUAAUCAAGCAACGGAUUUUCCAGCACGGCAAGGCUAGUUGGGACAAAAUUUUACUUACGAAGGACAUCAGAAUUUGUCAUGGAUUUUGAGAGGUAUUCUUCAUCUUGAUAAAUUGGGAUUUCCUAGCCUCAGGAUUUAAUUUGUUGGGCUUUCGCUAUAUUGGUUUUGGUUUAAAAAAGUAGACAUGUUUAGGUUGGUUUUUAUUGCUUUAUUUAUUUAGUUUAUUGUAUAUAUUGUUUUUAUUUUACUGGUAUUUGAUGCCUGUCAUGGUUUUUUUUUUAA